ensembl:lncRNA
AAAGAGAUUUAGGUGGCUCACAAUCAUUUAAAAUAGCCUAUUUUUAUUUGGUUGUUGUCCAGUGUUAAACUUUAGAUUUUAUAUUGAAUAAAUAUUUCCAAAGAUUUGUCAAGGUUUCUUCUAGAAGUAUAUUUAACAAAUAUAUACUGUCAGUAAGUUCACAGAUCCAGUAUAUACCUGCUCACAGUAUUUAUGAACUAAAAUUGUUUGAUUUAGGGUUUUAGAUAUAGCCUUAAUAUAAUAAGACUAAGGAAUAUACUCAAAGUUGCUGUCACUGGAUUUGACAAUCAAAUAUAGAUUUUUUGACAUACACCAAAACAUAAAUAAUAUAGUAUUUCAGGAACAGUCAAAUUUGAGCAUUGAUAUUGAUCUCUUUAUAGUGUUACGUUUGACAUCACAUUUUCCUGGCUGGGAUUUUCUACAAAGUCAUUUACUUGGAUACUGAAAUGGCUUUUGGUAUAUCAUAACAAAUAGUAUAGUUUUGAAGCGUUUAAUUUAUCCUUACAUCCCGCUUUGUUAAUAAUACUAUUUUACCUUUAAUAUUGUGUUUAGUACCUUGGUUGUGUACAAUACAAGUAAAACAAUAACAUUUUUGGUUUUGACACACAACAAUGCCAAGAAAGAGUAAGAGGUCACAAGCUCAGAGCCUGCGCUGGCAGCGGACCAAAGAGAAUCCCUGUGCAACAACGACUGACGGAGCAGAAUGUGUUGGUCCUGAGAGCAGUGGAGCGGUAAAGAUGUCUGCAGAGUCUCAUCCUGGAAGUGUGAAACAGGGAGUUCCAAGUGAGUCACAGGUAUCAUAUGCAGACGCAGUAAAGAGUGGACGUCACAGUGAGGAUCCA